rnacentral:tRNA from 1 species
GGAGGGCUGUCCGAGUGGCCUAAGGAGAUGGUCUUGAAAACCAUUGUGAGGUAACCCCUCACCCAGGGUUCGAAUCCCUGGCCCUCCGCCA